UUUACUAUUUUUUUUAAACGAAUGAUUCGACGGUAUCCGCGCAUAAGUAAUGUCUUUUCCAAGUUAUUGCUGCAUAUACGUACAAUGUCGUAUCAUCCGUACUCCAACAAACCCACACGAAUAACCGAGUAAUACGAAAAUUUUCUUCAAAUUCCGAUACAUUCCUGUUAAAUUUCAUUUCGAACGAAUAUUUAAAUUUUUAUUUCUAAUGUAAUUUCUGAUAUUUAUUGCGUCAUCCACGAAAAGAUAGAAAUAUUUGAAUCGUGUGUUAUCUCGUUGUAGCGCAGACAGUUGCGCACUCGCGUAGUUUUACAUUUAUACAUAGAAGAAACUUUUAUCGCAAAAAAAUGGCGUGAGUCAGAUGACUCAUACUGACGCUAUCCUUCUUGCUAUUUUUACAAAUAAAGAGCGCUUCACUUCUUGUCUCGCAGUUAAACUGUAAAGAUCAAACAAAAUCAUUUAAACAGUUUGUCAUCAAAUUUUUCGUAAUUUUGAAAAUAAACAUGGUCCUUCUACAGCCGGAUAUGUAAUUUCGUAUGUCGUAGUGAAAUAGUGCGUGUUCGCGACGAUUUAAUCAUUUAUUUCAAUUCGUGGUAAGAUUUUGCUACUGUUUCGUGUGUAUCAAAAGUUUAUUUGUACCUACAUACCUAUGUCUUCCGAAACGGGUGAUAAGUCUGAUUCUGAUUCAGUAAAGAGCCGCGAAACUAUGGAAAGUGAAACCGAACGCGAGUAUGUUGCCGAUCAAAUUAAUCCUGAUCAACCGAUAUAUAAAUCGUUGAAAAUAUUGGAAAUUCGUGUCGUUUGCUUAGAAAAAAGCUUCAAUUUUGGUGAAAUUCUCGACGCGGAUAGUGCCCAAUGCGAUCUCGACGAGCUGAACUCCAUCAAAUCGCGUAUUGACGAGUUGUUUGAAUCUCAUUUUCAUGAGCAGCUGAUUUCGAUCCAACAGAAUUUCGAUCAACGAUGCCGAAACUUAAGAAACAGGUAUAUGCAAAUUAUUUCUCGUAAAAGGCGCAGUGAGACCCCUCUUGAUUCGAAUUCGGCGCCUCCGAUGAAGCUGCCUGCGCUAGAAGUGCCUCAUUUCAGUGGUGAUCUUCAUAAAUGGGGAUCGUUUAAAUCUCGUUUUCUCCAUCUUGCCGCGGAUAAGCGCAUCGCAAAUGAUGAGAUAAGUAAGCGACAGUUUUUAUAUCAAGCAUUAGAUGGCGAUGCUAAAGAUAUGGUUGAAAAUCUCCGAGAUAGUCCGUUUGAGAAAAUAUGGGAUGUUUUGGUCAAGUUUUAUGAUGAUCCAUUUCGCCGAGCCAAGUCGCAUUAUAAGCAGCUUUUCGUUGAAAAAUCAGCCAAUACUUUACGUCAGCGUUUGGUGUCUUAUCGUCAGCAUACUGCUGGUUUGAAGUUGGCGUGUUCCGAGUUCAACAUCGACCCAUUUGAUCUGGUGACCAUCGCUCACUUCUUAGAUGAUCCACAAACGAAUAAUACGGUGCGUUUGCAAUGGGAACGCCAAACAACAGCGAAUCCAGAGUCCUGCACACUCGAUGAAUUUCUAAAUUUCCUCGAACGGAAAGCUACUUCCUGUGACAGAGCGUUUGAUCGAGGUCAAAAACCUUAUGGGAAAGGCCCAAAGUUCCAGAAAAAUGCAACGAUGAAAUCAGGCAAAACUCAAGGCCACACCAUGGUGCAGCAGCAGUCCAAACCAACGUUAAAGAAGAAACCACCCUGCGUUUUGUGUUCUGGUGAGCAUUACUUAAAUCAGUGCGACGAGUUCAAAAGGAAAACUCCAGAUGAGCGAAUCAAAUUCGUUGGCGAGCGUCGAUUGUGUCAAGUAUGCUUCAAGUCAAGUUGCAAAGGUGCCACAGAGAAGCCCGCAGCGUGUCCGAUGAAACAACUGCAUUGCUAUCGGUGUAAAGGAACUCAUCAUUCCUUAGUUCAUCGUUUUGGUAAGAAUUUUGAACCUCAUACUAUGUCAAAUAAAACACCAUUGGACAAAUCAAAUUUUAAUCAAAAUUUAUCCGUCUGCCUUCUCAAUAAAAAUGUAACUCGAGUAAAUCAUGAAAAUAACCCCCUUUUGGCCACUGCAUUAGUAGGUGUUAAAAAUAAUUCGAAUUCAACGUCAACUUCGAAUAUCGAAUCUAGAGUAUUGCUAGAUAAUGGCAGUCAAUUUAAUUUUAUUUCAAAACGAUUAGCCAACUUAUUGAAUGUAACUCCUAUGAGUACUGAUAUUUCUGUAGGUGGUUUAGGUGGUAAAAAUGCGGCUGUCAAUCAGUGUGUUGAUGUUACAAUAAUUUCUAGGUAUAAUUCAUCUGAAAUAACAGUUCGUUGCCUUGUUGUCGAAAAUAUUGUCAGCUCAGUGGUUCCCAACCAAUUUUUCAAAAUAAAUUCGUGGAAUUUACCAUCUCAUUUAUAUCUAGCUGAUCCAUAUUUCAACAUACCCGAUGAUAUUGAUAUAUUAUUGGGCCUAGAUAUUUUUUGGAAAAUUUUGAAAUCUGAAAACUUCAACCUCGGUGCAAAUUUGCCGAAGUUGAAGGAGACAGAAUUCGGUUGGAUUAUUGCUGGUAGUUUUAGAACUGCUGAGACGACACAAGGUACCAUGGUAUUCAUACUUCAGUUAAGUAACAACGAACUUCUCAAUCAGAUGAAAAAUUUUUGGUCAAUUGAGCACCAAAUUUCGAAUUUUCCGUUGACAGCUGACGAAUUAGCUUGCGAGGCUAUUUAUCAAAAAACUACUUAUCGUCAGUCAGAUGGUCGAUUUGUUGUCUCUUUACCUUUCAAAAAGGAUCCCGCUUUACUAGGCCAGUCUCGAUUCGAGGCAUUGAAACAAUUUAUGCACUUGGAAAAGCGAUUAAAAAAUAACCCUCAAAUGAAGGAAAAAUACGUUUCAUGUAUGAAUGAAUAUAUUGAGCUAGGUCAUAUGGUCGAAAUUUCUGAAAAUCUUGAGAGUAAUUCAGCUCCAAAGCAUGUUUAUUAUGUACCGCAUCAUGCUGUUAUCAAUCCCAGCUCAACUUCAACAUCUCAACGUACUGUUUUCAACGCCAGUAUGAAAACAUCAUCUGGUGUUUCCUUAAACGAUCUUUUAUACACAGGGCCAGUUGUACAACCCAAGUUGAGAGGCAUUCUUACACGAUUCCGAUUAUAUGCGUAUGUAAUGACUGCUGACAUUGUUAAAAUGUAUCGGCAAAUUCGGAGAAAUCCGGAUCAUACUGCAUAUCAGAGAAUAUUUUGGCGAAAUUCUCCGGAAGAAAAAUUGAAGGUUUGCGAAUUGACAACAGUUACAUUUGGUGAAAGAUCAGCCCAAUAUGAAGCAACAAGAACUUUGAAAAAACUGGCUGAAGAUUAUGGGGCGAAUUUUCCAAAUGCAAAAUCUGCCAUUUUAUCAGAUUUCUAUGUUGACAAUUUAUUAACCGGCUCAAAUUCUUUGGAACAAGCUAAGGCCACUCAAGAGGAGCUUAUUGCUCUCUUGAAUUCUGCUGGUUUACCUCUCAGCAAGUGGUCCUCAAAUUCUCCGGAAUUAUUAUCCAAAAUUGAUCCAUCAAAAAUUGAGCCAAUGUCUCGUGUUAGUUUUGAUGACAAAGAAAUGGUCAAAACUUUGGGUAUGUACUGGGCUCCUUGCGACGAUACUUUGAGGUUUUGGUUCGAAAAACCAAACGUGACUGAGGCGCAUACCAAACGCCAAAUUUUGGGCGUAAUUGCUUCAAUUUACGACCCAAUGGGCUUGGUUGGGCCAAUAACAGUCACAGCGAAGUGUUUCAUGCAAGAAAUUUGGAAAUUUAUAGUUGAAGACGAAAAACGAAAAAUUUACUGGGAUGAAACAGUGCCGGACAAAAUUUUGAGACCUUGGCGAGAGUUUGCAGCGCAACUUCAUUUAUUAAAUAAAAUUUCGAUACCUCGACACAUCACUCCUAGCAAUACUUCGAUAAUUUAUGAACUCCACGGAUUUUCUGAUGCGUCAUCUCGCGCUUAUGGAGCAGUUCUCUAUUUGAGAGCUAUUUCUGGUAAGGAGGUUCAAGUACAUCUUUUGUGCUCGAAAUCUCGCGUAGCUCCUUUGAAAGAAAUUUCCAUACCUCGAAUGGAAUUGUUAGCAGCCGAAUUGCUGGCUGAAAUGGCGCAUGAGGUGGCUUCGGACUUAUCUGUUCGAGUGAAUAUCGCUUCCAUCAGGUUAUGGAGUGACUCGAAAAUUGCUCUUUCUUGGAUUGGUACUCAAUCAUAUAAAUGGAGUGUCUUUGUGGCGCAUCGAAUUACUAAAAUACAAAGUCUUUCUAAAAAUAGCCAAUGGGACUAUGUUGAGUCGAAUAGCAACCCAGCCGAUGUAUUAUCGCGGGGAGCAAAUCCUAUUGAUUUAUGUAAGCCUAACCAUGUUUGGUUUUUUGGACCAAAUUGGUUGAGAAACUCAACUAGUCCUUGGCCUGAUUUCGUAAAUUUUGUUCCAAAUCCCAACGAAUCAGAAGAGCGAAAAACUGAACGAGGUAUAGCCAUGGUAGCAACUUCAUUCCGAAGUAAUUUGUUCAACCUCGUAGGUUUACCUGAUACGGGAACAAAUUCCUCAAAACUCGCUCAUAAAUUAGGUUACAGUAAGUUGCUGCGGCUCACGUCAUAUUUAGCUCGACCAAUUCGAAAUCGCUUACCAUAUUUUCCUCAGUCAAAUCGAAUUGAAGGAAAACAGCUUCACAAACACGACUUAGAAUUCGCAAAAAUGAUUUUAAUCAAGCUGUCUCAAUGUGAAUAUUUUCAAGACGAUAUCACGCGCCUAAAAAAUGGCAAGCCCCUAAAUAAAAACAGCUCGAUUGAAAGUCUAAGUCCGUUUCUAGAUGCUGAUGGGAUACUUCGUGUAGGGGGUAGGUUGGAGGAGGCUGACAUGUCUUAUGAACAACGGCACCCCAUCCUACUUCACCCAUCUCAUCCUUUAACUACUCUAAUUGUUAUGCAUGAACAUUUAAUCAAUUUACAUGCGGGUCCAAAGUUGCUAAAAUCAAUUUUGCGAAGGCAAUUUUGGAUACUUCGUAUGAAUUCGUGCAUUUCAAGAUGUUUAAAAUUGUGCUUUACUUGCGCAAAAUUCGCUGCAAAAACACAGCAUCAAAUUAUGGCCAAUUUUCCCAAGGAACGAAUUAGUCCAAGCAGAGCCUUCACCCAUACGGGAGUUGACUAUGCUGGACCCUUUUCACUAAUGCAAACAGGUGGUCGCUGUCGAACGAAAAUCAAGGUCUAUGUUGCUGUCUUUGUUUGCUUUGCAACAAAGGCAAUUCACAUCGAAGUGGUGUACGACCUUUCUACAGAAAAAUUUCUCGAAGCCUUUUCAAGGUUUAUUUCGCGACGCGGCGUACCUGCGCAUAUCUAUUCCGACAAUGGAACGACAUUUGUUGGUGCGAAAAAUCGAUUAAACGAAAUGCAUUCCUUGGUGUUGAAAGAGGCCUCCAAAAUCGAAAAAUUCACACUUGAUAAAGGUUCGCAAUGGCAUUUCAUUCCUCCUCACGCCCCUCAUUUUGGUGGGAUAUGGGAGGCUGGAGUGAAAUCCAUAAAAAGUCAUUUGUAUAAGACGAUCGAUUCGUAUACACUGACUUCCGAUCAAUUCGCAACUUUACUUAAUCAGAUCGAAGCUUGUCUUAAUUCGAGACCUCUCACUCCAGAAUCGUCCGAUCCGAACGAACUCAACGCCUUGACGCCAGGACAUUUUCUCAUUGGCGGACCAAUCACAGCAUUGCAAACCAUCGACUACACAAAUAUUCCCAGUAAUCGAUUAAAACACUGGGAACAAAUUAAUAAACUGACUCAAUUAUUUUGGAAAAGGUGGCAAUCCGAAUAUCUGAAUACUCUUCAACAACGUUAUAAAUGGCAAUUACCUGACGGCGAAUUAAAGCUAGGUGAUUUUGUCGUAAUUAAAGAUGAUCAUUUGUCUCCUACGCAGUGGGCCUUAGGUAGGGUACUUGAGUUACAUCCAGGUAAAGAUGGUAAAUGUCGAGUAGCGACGAUCCAAACGUCCAAUGGCAAGGUCAAAAGACCUCUCGUUAAACUUGUUUUUCUCCCUUGUGAUCGUAAAAAUAUGUAAUUAUAAUUUUAUCUGUGUAUGUGCGUAGGUCCACAACAAAAUCCGCGGACAGAUGGGUCCAAUAAUAUUGUAAUAGCGGAUAACACAGAGAAAAGUUAGGUGCGAAAAUAUAUCAAAUUUACGUCGAUGAUGAUUUGAGGAACUUCAAGUUUCAGUUGUUUUCAAAGAAGAGCGUAGUUCAUUCCAUAGAUAUGUAUCAUAAAUCAUCAAAUCGACUAAAGGCCAGAGAGAAGAAUCCUAUAAUGUAAACAAAAAUCAAAACCUGGUACCAGGGUUCGCUGAGGAUAGCACCUCUCCUCAAUAAUUGCUCCGAGAGCAAUCACACUUGGCCAGUGUGACUAUAAUAUACCUUGAAAGUAAAAUAAGACAGGUGAGCUAAGAAAGCUCAUUUCAUGUGUGCCCAUGAAAUACCAUAGAUUCUCUCUCUCUUCGAUUCGCAAAUUUUCGCCAUUCAAAAUAACCUAACUCCUAACCACCGUAAAUAAAACCUGUCUCGAAAACCUUUUGUAAUUUAAAUAUGUAGAUCAUUUUGUUUGAGGCGUCGCCUCAACGCGGGGAGUAUGUUAAAUUUCAUUUCGAACGAAUAUUUAAAUUUUUAUUUCUAAUGUAAUUUCUGAUAUUUAUUGCGUCAUCCACGAAAAGAUAGAAAUAUUUGAAUCGUGUGUUAUCUCGUUGUAGCGCAGACAGUUGCGCACUCGCGUAGUUUUACAUUUAUACAUAGAAGAAACUUUUAUCGCAAAAAAAUGGCGUGAGUCAGAUGACUCAUACUGACGCUAUCCUUCUUGCUAUUUUUACAAAUAAAGAGCGCUUCACUUCUUGUCUCGCAGUUAAACUGUAAAG